GAACAGCGUCAAAGCUUAGUUGUCAUAAUGCCUAAUUUCAUAAACAUACCUGAAUCCUCCAUCCUUACUGAGUAAUUCUAUACUUUUAUAGAAAAUUUUAUGUUAAAACUAGUAACAAGAAAGGGACUCUCUCUUAAAUGUAAGUGUAAAUCAGAAGGGACAAGCCACUGAUACUUAACACCACUGAGCCAAAAGUAGAAACUCACCGAGAAAACUCUACUUUCAUUCGUGUUAACCUAACACAAGAACACUACAAGAAAGAUUAAAAGAAAAAGAAGGAACUCGGCAAACAUUAACCCCGCCUGUUUACCAAAAACAUCGCCUCUUGAGCUCUAUAAGAGGUCCAGCCUGCCCAGUGACUUUGUUCAACGGCCGCGGUAUCCUAACCGUGCGAAGGUAGCGUAAUCACUUGUUCUUUAAAUAAGGACUAGUAUGAACGGCAUCACGAGGGUUAUACUGUCUCCUUUUUCUAAUCAGUGAAACUAAUCUUCCCGUGAAGAAGCGGGAAUAUGUAUAUAAGACGAGAAGACCCUAUGGAGCUUAAAACAACUCAACACUUGCUUAAAUUAUCAAAAAUUUCAGAACUUUAGACUUCCUCAAGCAAUAUGAUUGUAAAGUUUUUGGUUGGGGCGACCACGGAGUAUAUUAUAACCUCCAUGUUGAAAGAGAUUUUCCUCUAAGCUAAGAGUUACCCAUCUAAGCAUCAACACACUGACAUUCCUUGACCCAAUAUAUUUGAUCAACGAACCAAGUUACCCUAGGGAUAACAGCGCAAUCUACUUCAAGAGCUCCUAUCGACAAGUGGGUUUACGACCUCGAUGUUGGAUCAGGGUAUCCUAGUGGUGUAGCCGCUACUAAA
rnacentral:rRNA from 1 species